GAUGAACGCUGGCGGCGUGCUUAACACAUGCAAGUCGAACGGAAAGGCCCAAGCUUGCUUGGGUACUCGAGUGGCGAACGGGUGAGUAACACGUGGGUGAUCUGCCCUGCACUUCGGGAUAAGCCUGGGAAACUGGGUCUAAUACCGGAUAGGACCACAUUUUGGAUGGUGUGGUGGAAAGUUUUUCGGUGUGGGGUGAGCUCGCGGCCUAUCAGCUUGUUGGUGGGGUAAUGGCCUACCAAGGCGUCGACGGGUAGCCGGCCUGGGAGGGUGUACGGCCACAUUGGGACUGAGAUACGGCCCAGACUCCUACGGGAGGCAGCAGUGGGGAAUAUUGCACAAUGGGCGCAAGCCUGAUGCAGCGACGCCGCGUGGGGGAUGACGGCCUUCGGGUUGUAAACUCCUUUCGCUAGGGACGAAGCGUUAUGUGACGGUACCUGGAGAAGAAGCACCGGCUAACUACGUG
rnacentral:rRNA from 1 species